CCUACGGGUGGCAGCAGUGAGGAAUAUUGGUCCAUUGGCGAGAGCCUGAACCAGACAAGUCGCGUGAAGGAUGACGGCCCUACGGGUUGUAAACUUCUUUUGUCAGGGAGCACUUGAGUCCACGUGUGGGCUUAGCGAGAGUACCUGCAGACAAUGCAUAGGCGAACUCCGUGCCAGCAGCCGCGGGAAUACGGAGGAUGCGGGGGUUAAUCGGAUUUAUUGGGUUUAAAGGGUGCGUAGACGGCAGCGCAAGUCUGGAGGGAAAUGCCUGGGCCCAACCCCGGAACUGCUCUGGAAACUGGGGAGCUGGAGUGCAGGAGAGGUAAGCGGAAUGCCUGGUGUAGCGGUGAAAUGCGUAGAUAUCAGGAGGAACACCGGCGGCGAAGGCGGCUUACUGGACUGUAACUGACGUUGAGGCUCGAAGGCGUGGGGAGCGAACAGGAUUAGAUACCCUGGUAGUC
rnacentral:rRNA from 1 species